rnacentral:misc_RNA from 1 species
GUGCUUGCUAUAAGACAGAAUUUUAAGUUAUCAUGUGUAAGUUAUCACCCUCAGAUAUGUUGAUAGAAACUGGAAAAUUCUUGUUCAGGUUAGUUUUUGAAACUUGAAUCAAAGAUUUAUAAUGAAAUACAAUCGAAAUGGUGGAAUGUUAUUGGUUUUAUAUAUAUAUAUAUAAUACCAUGUUUUAGCAGUGAAAAAUCCUUAAAAAUGUAGCUAUCGG